rnacentral:ncRNA from 1 species
GCGGCCUGCUCGUGAUCGUCUUCUCACCGUUCAUGGGACAGGCGGAUGAAGGAAGGCCCCCGCGAGGAUGUGACUCGCGGGGGCCUUCC